GGACUCAAUUGUCUGGUGCCUAAAGCCAGAACAAAACCUAAGUAUUCAACCUUUGAUUUACACAAUUGCAUUUUGUGUUUAACAAGCUUGUGACCCACAGCUGCUGACAGUAUCCACAGUGCUUGCCUCAUAGCUAGGGCUACAUAACAACAAAUCAUCAACAUUUUGCAAAAAGGACAGAACCAUGACCGGUGGUCCAUGUUUUUUAG